rnacentral:sRNA from 1 species
GAUACAGUUUUCAGAAAUUUUGCAGUUUCUGAAUAUUCUUAAAACAAGUAAUUCCAUCAAGCUGGUGAAUCUGCUCUCCAUAUUUAUCAGCACGUGGCUGACUGCAGCCGGGUUCAUCCAUUUGGUGGAGAAUUCAGGGGACCCAUGGGAAAAUUUCCAAAACAACCAGGCUCUCACCUACUGGGAAUGUGUCUAUUUACUCAUGGUCACAAUGUCCACCGUUGGUUAUGGGGAUGUUUAUGCAAAAACCACACUUGGGCGCCUCUUCAUGGUCUUCUUCAUCCUUGGGGGACUGGCCAUGUUUGCCAGCUACGUCCCUGAAAUCAUAGAGUUAAUAGGAAACCGCAAGAAAUACGGGGGCUCCUAUAGUGCGGUUAGUGGAAGAAAGCACAUUGUGGUCUGUGGACACAUCACUCUGGAGAGUGUUUCCAACUUCCUGAAGGACUUUCUGCACAAGGACCGGGAUGACGUCAAUGUGGAGAUCGUUUUUCUUCACAACAUCUCCCCCAACCUGGAGCUUGAAGCUCUGUUCAAACGACAUUUUACUCAGGUGGAAUUUUAUCAGGGUUCCGUCCUCAAUCCACAUGAUCUUGCAAGAGUCAAGAUAGAGUCAGCAGAUGCAUGCCUGAUCCUUGCCAACAAGUACUGCGCUGACCCGGAUGCGGAAGAUGCCUCAAACAUCAUGAGAGUAAUCUCCAUAAAGAACUACCAUCCGAAGAUAAGAAUCAUCACUCAAAUGCUGCAGUAUCACAACAAGGCCCAUCUGCUAAACAUCCCGAGCUGGAAUUGGAAAGAAGGUGAUGACGCAAUCUGCCUCGCAGAGUUGAAGUUGGGCUUCAUAGCCCAGAGCUGCCUGGCUCAAGGCCUCUCCACCAUGCUUGCCAACCUCUUCUCCAUGAGGUCAUUCAUAAAGAUUGAGGAAGACACGUGGCAGAAAUACUACUUGGAAGGAGUCUCAAAUGAAAUGUACACAGAAUAUCUCUCCAGUGCCUUCGUGGGUCUGUCCUUCCCUACUGUUUGUGAGCUGUGUUUUGUGAAGCUCAAGCUCCUAAUGAUAGCCAUUGAGUACAAGUCUGCCAACCGAGAGAGCCGAAGCCGAAAGCGUAUAUUAAUUAAUCCUGGAAACCAUCUUAAGAUCCAAGAAGGUACUUUAGGAUUUUUCAUCGCAAGUGAUGCCAAAGAAGUUAAAAGGGCAUUUUUUUACUGCAAGGCCUGUCAUGAUGACAUCACAGAUCCCAAAAGAAUAAAAAAAUGUGGCUGCAAACGGCUGAUAUAUUUUGAAGAUGAGCAGCCGUCAACACUAUCACCAAAAAAAAAGCAACGGAAUGGAGGCAUGCGGAACUCACCCAACUCCUCGCCUAAGCUGAUGAGGCAUGACCCCUUGUUAAUUCCUGGCAAUGAUCAGAUUGACAACAUGGACUCCAAUGUGAAGAAGUACGACUCUACUGGGAUGUUUCACUGGUGUGCAGCCAAGGAGAUAGAGAAAGUCAUCCUGACUCGAAGUGAAGCUGCUAUGACCGUCCUGAGUGGCCAUGUCGUGGUCUGCAUCUUUGGCGAUGUCAGCUCAGCCCUGAUCGGCCUCCGGAACCUGGUGAUGCCGCUCCGUGCCAGCAACUUUCAUUACCACGAGCUCAAGCACAUUGUGUUUGUGGGCUCUAUUGAGUACCUCAAGCGGGAAUGGGAGACACUUCAUAACUUCCCCAAAGUGUCCAUAUUGCCUGGUACGCCAUUAAGUCGGGCUGAUUUAAGGGCUGUCAACAUCAACCUCUGUGACAUGUGCGUUAUCCUGUCAGCCAAUCAGAAUAAUAUUGAUGAUACUUCGCUGCAGGACAAGGAAUGCAUCUUGGCGUCACUCAACAUCAAAUCUAUGCAGUUUGAUGACAGCAUCGGGGUCUUGCAGGCUAAUUCCCAAGGGUUCACACCUCCAGGAAUGGAUAGAUCCUCUCCAGAUAACAGCCCAGUGCAUGGGAUGUUACGUCAACCAUCCAUCACAACUGGGGUCAACAUCCCCAUCAUCACUGAACUAGUGAACGAUACUAAUGUUCAGUUUUUGGACCAAGACGAUGAUGAUGACCCUGAUACAGAACUGUACCUCACGCAGCCCUUUGCCUGUGGGACAGCGUUUGCCGUCAGUGUCCUGGACUCACUCAUGAGUGCGACAUACUUCAAUGACAAUAUCCUCACCCUGAUACGGACCCUGGUGACCGGAGGAGCCACGCCGGAGCUGGAGGCUCUGAUUGCUGAGGAGAAUGCCCUUAGAGGUGGCUACAGCACCCCGCAGACACUGGCCAAUAGGGACCGCUGCCGCGUGGCCCAGUUAGCUCUGCUCGAUGGGCCAUUUGCGGACUUAGGGGUAUGUCAUCACCAAUCCCCCCUACGAGUUUGAGCUCGUGCCGACGGACCUGAUCUUCUGCUUAAUGCAGUUUGACCACAACGCCGGCCAGUCCCGGGCCAGCCUGUCCCAUUCCUCCCACUCGUCGCAGUCCUCCAGCAAGAAGAGCUCCUCUGUUCACUCCAUCCCAUCCAC